AUUGGACGCUGGCGGCAGGCCUAACACAUGCAAGUCGAGCGGAUGAAGGGAGCUUGCUCCUGGAUUCCGCGGCGGACGGGUGAGUGAUGCCUAGGAAUCUGCCUGGUAGUGGGGGAUAACGUCCGGAAACGGGCGCUAAUACCGCAUACGUCCUGAGGGAGAAAGUGGGGGAUCUUCGGACCUCACGCUCUCAGAUGAGCCUAGGUCGGAUUAGCUAGUUGGUGGGGUAAAGGCCUACCAAGGCGACGAUCCGUAACUGGUCUGAGAGGAUGAUCAGUCACACUGGAACUGAGACACGGUCCAGACUCCUACGGGAGGCAGCAGUGGGGAAUAUUGGACAAUGGGCGAAAGCCUGAUCCAGCCAUGCCGCGUGUGUGAAGAAGGUCUUCGGAUUGUAAAGCACUUUAAGUUGGGAGGAAGGGCAGUAAGUUAAUACCUUGCUGUUUUGACGUUACCAACAGAAUAAGCACCGGCUAACUUCGUG
rnacentral:rRNA from 1 species